rnacentral:rRNA from 1 species
CCUACGGGCGGCUGCAGUGAGGAAUAUUGGUCAAUGGACGAGAGUCUGAACCAGCCAAGUAGCGUGAAGGAUGACUGCCCUAUGGGUUGUAAACUUCUUUUAUAUGGGAAUAAAACGUUCCACGUGUGGGAUUUUGUAUGUACCAUAUGAAUAAGGAUCGGCUAACUCCGUGCCAGCAGCCGCGGUAAUACGGAGGAUCCGAGCGUUAUCCGGAUUUAUUGGGUUUAAAGGGAGCGUAGGUGGAUUGUUAAGUCAGUUGUGAAAGUUUGCGGCUCAACCGUAAAAUUGCAGUUGAAACUGGCAGUCUUGAGUACAGUAGAGGUAGGCGGAAUUCGUGGUGGAGCGGUGAAAUGCUUAGAUAGCACGAAGAACUCCGAUUGCGAAGGCAGUUCACUGGACUGCAACUGACACUGAGGCUCGAAAGUGUGGGUAUCAAACAGGAUUAGAUACCCGGGUAGUC